rnacentral:lncRNA from 1 species
AGCAUAUACACGCAAAUAUUUCUCCUCAGCGCCGAGGUUAUGUCCAGAGAAUGUCAAUAACUAUUUUAUAAAAGCGGGCGGGCGGCGGGGCGGGAGGUGGAGGAGGGGCGCGCGAGGGUGCGGAGUCGGCGGGCAGGGGUCGGGACGCGGCCGGUGCAGGGCCCGCCACGCAGCGCCACAUGUGCGGUUAAUGCACUUUAUUGCGGCCGUGUGUGGGCGUGCGGUGCCAACAUUGUUCCUGCCGCAAGAGUGGGUGGUGAAGGGCCAGCAUGCGAGAGGAUGACCCCGUGGGUGUGGCUGCGGGCGUGCAAUGGCAGUGUGCGCGCAACAUGUGGUGGCGCGUGGUGGUGGAGCUGGUGACUGCCUGGCCAGAUGCCGCCAGCCGUGCCACAAUGCUUCGCUCGCUCCCACACCCGCUGCAGACACCCACAUUCCUCACACCUCGCUCGCCGGGCCUGCCUCCUGCCGCCCCACCGGCUAAAACACUUCGUUAGAUAAAAGUAAAGGUGGAAAUGUUGAACGCAGGUACAGGCGAGCGCGGCGAGGUGUGCCAGGCCUGUCAGGCUGAAUGGAGAGGAGCGGGCGGCGCGCGGCAGCAGGCGGCCAGUAGUACAAGCUUGCAUGCCGACUGACAUGUAAAAGAGAUUUGAUACAGCGGUGGUUAGCCGUGCCUCUAUCACUGGCAGGUCACCACGGGCGGGAGAGGCGCCGAUACUCCGUCAUUAUGGGGAACGAGCCGCGGAGAUGAGCAGGGCAGAUCAGGCGGCGUAAUGGUCACGCCGCCACACCGGCCAUCAGUGAGGGGAGGGGGAGGGGUGACGCCAGGGAGCACCUUUGACUCAUGGCGCGAGAGCAAGACAAACACACACACACACACACACACACACACACACACACACACACACACACAGAGGCCAGCAGAGGGACCCCCCGGGGUAAAGGCGAGGCGUGCCUGGGCCUGCGGGUGCACGGUCACCUGGCGGGGCGGGGACAGGUGGUCUGGGUCAUCUGGGCACACAGGCAGUGGCAUCAGACCAUCAUACAGCUCCAGGUGGCGUGGGUGGCACCGUGGGCGCCCGAGUCAGUAGGUGGGCGCCUGGAGGGGCAAGGUGGGCGGGCGGGCGAGCGGGCAGGUGGGUGGCGCCUGUCCCCCUUUACACACACACGUCCACACACCACCAAACAUAAUUUGCCUCCUGCCAACACGUGAGCUGUGCUGCUCCUGUGACGCCGUGCCGCCGCCACAGCCGCCAUCGCCACAGCCACAGCCGUGUGCCAGGAACUCAGACAACCUGAACACACCUGCACGGACCAAUACAGGUGUGUGGCUGGACAUGGCAGAAUAUUCCACAUCUGCACCUAUGACACCUGUGCAAUUUAUCACCUAUAUAAAUGAAGAACUGAGGUAAAAAUGUGUGAACUAAUACCUGCAUGAACUUCACACCUGUCUUAAUCAACAGGUGUGUGAAUGAAGAACAAAGAUACCGCCAUGAGGACUAUCAGGUGUCUUAAAUUCACACCUGUGCUAACAGGUGUGUGGAUAAGGAAAGGUACAGCUGCGGCAACUAACACCUGUCUCUAUCUCACACCUGUGCCAAUUUACACCUGCAUUAAUCAACAGGUGUGAAGGGAAGACAAACAAUACAAAGGAUAUAUAAGCAGACACUUGUAUAAAUCAGAAAUAAACACACAAACCGCACCACACACACACACACACACACACACACACACACACACACACACACACACACACACACACACACACACAAUCA